GAAGGUAUAGCUCAGUGGUAACUGCCUCCUUAACAUGCACUAGGUCCUGGGUUCAAUCCCCAGUACCUCCA
rnacentral:tRNA from 1 species